rnacentral:rRNA from 1 species
ACACAUGCAAGUCGAGCGGUAGAGAGAAGCUUGCUUCUCUUGAGAGCGGCGGACGGGUGAGUAAUGCCUAGGAAUCUGCCUGGUAGUGGGGGAUAACGUUCGGAAACGGACGCUAAUACCGCAUACGUCCUACGGGAGAAAGCAGGGGACCUUCGGGCCUUGCGCUAUCAGAUGAGCCUAGGUCGGAUUAGCUAGUUGGUGGGGUAAUGGCUCACCAAGGCGACGAUCCGUAACUGGUCUGAGAGGAUGAUCAGUCACACUGGAACUGAGACACGGUCCAGACUCCUACGGGAGGCAGCAGUGGGGAAUAUUGGACAAUGGGCGAAAGCCUGAUCCAGCCAUGCCGCGUGUGUGAAGAAGGUCUUCGGAUUGUAAAGCACUUUAAGUUGGGAGGAAGGGCAUUAACCUAAUACGUUAGUGUUUUGACGUUACCGACAGAAUAAGCACCGGCUAACUCUGUGCCAGCAGCCGCGGUAAUACAGAGGGUGCAAGCGUUAAUCGGAAUUACUGGGCGUAAAGCGCGCGUAGGUGGUUUGUUAAGUUGGAUGUGAAAUCCCCGGGCUCAACCUGGGAACUGCAUUCAAAACUGACUGACUA